rnacentral:rRNA from 1 species
UACGUAGGGGGCAAGCGUUGUCCGGAUUUAUUGGGCGUAAAGAGCUCGUAGGCGGUUUGGUAAGUCAGGUGUGAAAUCUCCACGCUCAACGUGGAGGGGCCACCUGAUACUGCCAUGACUGGAGUCCGGUAGAGGAGUGUGGAAUUCCCGGUGUAGCGGUGAAAUGCGCAGAUAUCGGGAGGAACACCAAUGGCGAAGGCAGCUUGCUGGGACGGUACUGACGCUGAGACGCGAAAGCGUGGGGAGCAAACAGG